rnacentral:rRNA from 1 species
GACGAACGCUGGCGGCGUGGAUUAGGCAUGCAAGUCGAACGGUAUCAUCCUUUCGGGGGUGAGAGAGUGGCGAACUGGUGAGUAACACGUAGGUUAUCUACCCUCAAGACGGGGACAACCCAGGGAAACUUGGGCUAAUACCGGAUGUGAGCAACUUUUAGUUGUUUGAAAGGUGGCGUAAGCUGUCGCUUGGGGAUGAGCCUGCGUCCUAUUAGUUAGUUGGUGAGGUAACGGCUCACCUAGGCAAUGAUAGGUAGGCGGCCUUAACGGGUGGUCGCCCCACACUGGGAUUGAGAUACGGCCCAGACUCCUACGGGAGGCAGCAGUCGAGAAUAGUCUACAAUGGUCGGAAGACUGAUAGUGCGACGCCGCGUGAACGAUGAAUCCCUUCGGGUGUAAAGUUCUUUUAUAUGUGAGCAGUGCUUCUUAUAUUAACAGUAUGGGGAGAGAGAUAUUAGCAUAUGAAUAAGCAACGGCUAACUCCGUGCCAGCAGCCCGGUAAACUCGU